AGUACAUGAAGCUGGAAUCGCUAGUAAUCGCAAAUCAGAAUGUUGCGGUGAAUACGUUCCCGGGCCUUGUACACACCGCCCGUCACACCAUGGGAGUUGGAAGCACCCGAAGUCGAUGACCUAACCGCGAGGGAGGAGUCGCCGAAGGUGAAGCCAGUGACUGGGGUGAAGUCGUAACAAGGUAAC
rnacentral:rRNA from 1 species